CCUACGGGAGGCAGCAGUGGGGAAUAUUGCACAAUGGGGGGAACCCUGAUGCAGCAACGCCGCGUGGGUGAAGAAGUACUUCGGUAUGUAAAGCCCUGUCAGCAGGGAAGAAAAUGACGGUACCUGAACAAGAAGCCCCGGAUAACUACGUGCCAGCAGCCGCGGUAAUACGUAGGGGGCAAGCGUUAUCCGGAUUUACUGGGUGUAAAGGGAGCGUAGACGGCAAGGCAAGUCUGGAGUGAAAUCACGUGGCUCAACCACGGGACUGCUUUGGAAACUGUGUUGCUGGAGUGCAGGAGGGGUAAGCGGAAUUCCUAGUGUAGCGGUGAAAUGAGUAGAUAUUAGGAGGAACACCAGUGGCGAAGGCGGCCUACUGGACGGUGACUGACGCUGAGGCUCGAAAGCGUGGGGAGCAAACAGGAUUAGAUACCCCAGUAGUC
rnacentral:rRNA from 1 species